rnacentral:lncRNA from 8 species
AUGUUGUCUUGUGUGAAUGUGCAUGUAGUGUGUGGUUUGCUCUGUUCCUUCCCUUUUCUCUUAAACAGCAUUCAGAAAGCAUCUGAUCAUUUUUUUUCUUUUAGAUGUUUUUCUUCUAAUUUCUCCUCUUUUCAGCAUGAGACUGUUAUGACAGAGGCACCUGAAGAGGUUCCAGUGGAGACAGAAAUUAUCCCAGAAAAGCUGUGGAAGCCCGUGGAAGCACCGGUCGAAGAAGCCCCCGUAGCCGAGGUCGCUCCAGCAGAGCUCCUUGUAGAGGCCCCAGUAGACCCUGUCAUCAACAUAAUGGCUGACUUUGCCAUCACAGAAUCUGUUCCCGUUGCGGAGGCAGCCAUGGCUGAACAGGUGCCCGCAGUCCCAACGGAUUCACUUGACGCCCUAUCGGAGUUGCUGAACGACGUCACUCUAGUCACUGAGCCCGCCCCUGUCACAGCUGAUAAAGUCAUUGACGCUAAAGAGGAAAUUGAAGCCCAGAUGGAAAUCGAGGCUAAAAAGGAUGCCAUAGAUGAGAAGACGGUCCUUGACGUCAUCUCUGGAGAUUUAUCUGCCCCCGACUCUGUCAUCUCAGAACUGCAGUGUCACACGCAGCUCGCCGCCCCCAAGGAUAUCCCAGCAGAGGCCGUGCUGAAUGGACAGAUGGCAGCUGAGGUGGCCAUUGAGGGAUAGAUCUCUAUGGAUUUCCUCAGUCAGUAUGAAGGACUGAAGAGAGCCUGACG